AACGAACGCUGGCGGCAUGCCUAACACAUGCAAGUCGAACGAUUGCCUUCGGGUGAUAGUGGCGCACGGGUGCGUAACGCGUGGGAAUCUGCCCUUAGGUUCGGAAUAACAGCUGGAAACGGCUGCUAAUACCGGAUGAUAUCGCGAGAUCAAAGAUUUAUCGCCUGAGGAUGAGCCCGCGUUGGAUUAGGUAGUUGGUGGGGUAAAGGCCUACCAAGCCGACGAUCCAUAGCUGGUCUGAGAGGAUGAUCAGCCACACUGGGACUGAGACACGGCCCAGACUCCUACGGGAGGCAGCAGUGGGGAAAAUUGGACAAUGGGCGCAAGCCUGAUCCAGCAAUGCCGCGUGAGUGAUGAAGGCCCUAGGGUUGUAAAGCUCUUUUACCCGGGAAGAUAAUGACUGUACCGGGAGAAUAAGCCCCGGCUAACUCCGUG
rnacentral:rRNA from 1 species